rnacentral:rRNA from 1 species
UGGGGAAUUUUGGACAAUGGGGGAAACCCUGAUCCAGCCAUCCCGCGUGUGCGAUGAAGGCCUUCGGGUUGUAAAGCACUUUUGGCAGGAAAGAAACGUCGCGGGUUAAUACCCCGCGAAACUGACGGUACCUGCAGAAUAAGCACCGGCUAACUACGUGCCAGCAGCCGCGGUAAUACGUAGGGUGCAAGCGUUAAUCGGAAUUACUGGGCGUAAAGCGUGCGCAGGCGGUUCGGAAAGAAAGAUGUGAAAUCCCAGAGCUUAACUUUGGAACUGCAUUUUUAACUACCGGGCUAGAGUGUGUCAGAGGGAGGUGGAAUUCCGCGUGUAGCAGUGAAAUGCGUAGAUAUGCGGAGGAACACCGAUGGCGAAGGCAGCCUCCUGGGAUAACACUGACGCUCAUGCACGAAAGCGUGGGGAGCAAACAGGAUUAGAUACCCUGGUAGUCCACGCCCUAAACGAUGUCAACUAGCUGUUGGGGCCUUCGGGCCUUGGUAGCGCAGCUAACGCGUGAAGUUGACCGCCUGGGGAGUACGGUCGCAAGAUUAAAAACUCAAAGGAAUUGAC